rnacentral:rRNA from 1 species
UAGCGGUGAAAUGCGUAGAUAUUGGGAAGAACACUAAACAGCGAAGGCACUUUACUAGGCUAAUACUGACGCUGAGAAACGAAAGGUAAGGUAGCGAAACGGAUUAGAUACCCGUGUAGUCUUACCCGUAAACUAUGGACACUAAACGGUAAAUUUUUAAUUUACUGUUAAAGCUAACGCGUUAAGUGUCCCGCCUGGGGAGUAUGCUUGCAAAAGUGAAACUCAAAGGAAUUGACGGGGGCCCGCACAAGCGGUGGAGCAUGUGGUUUAAUUCGACGGUACACGAAGAACCUUACCAGGAUUUGACAUGCUAGAUAGUUGCUUGAAAGAGUAACGUGCCGUAAGGAAUCUAGACACAGGUGGUGCAUGGCUGUCGUCAGUUCGUGUUGUGAAAUGUUGGGUUAAGUCCCGCAACGAACGCAACCCUUGUCUUUAGUUAUUUUCUAAAGAGACUGCCUGUAAUAAACAGGAGGAAGGUAAGGAUGAGGUCAAGUCAUCAUGCCCCUUAUGUCCUGGGCUACACACGUGCUACAAUGGGAAAGACGAUGAGCUGCAAAUCUGUAAAUUUAAGCAGAUCUCUUAAACUUUCUCGUAGUUCGGAUUGUGGGCUGCAACUCGCCCACAUGAAGUUGGAAUCGCUAGUAAUCGCCAGUCAGCUAUAUGGCGGUGAAUCCGUUCCCGGGCCUUGCACACACCGCCCGUCACACCAUGGGAGCUGUUAACUCCUAAAGUCGUAUUUUCAACUUACAAAGAGAAAAAUGCCUA